AUUGAACGCUGGCGGCAGGCUUAACACAUGCAAGUCGAGCGGGGUGAUGGUGCUUGCACUAUCACUUAGCGGCGGACGGGUGAGUAAUGCUUAGGAAUCUGCCUAUUAGUGGGGGACAACAUUUCGAAAGGAAUGCUAAUACCGCAUACGUCCUACGGGAGAAAGCAGGGGAUCUUCGGACCUUGCGCUAAUAGAUGAGCCUAAGUCGGAUUAGCUAGUUGGUGGGGUAAAGGCCUACCAAGGCGACGAUCUGUAGCGGGUCUGAGAGGAUGAUCGGCCACACUGGGACUGAGACACGGCCCAGACUCCUACGGGAGGCAGCAGUGGGGAAUAUUGGACAGUGGGCGCAAGCCUGAUCCAGCCAUGCCGCGUGUGUGAAGAAGGCCUUAUGGUUGUAAAGCACUUUAAGCGAGGAGGAGGCUACUUUAGUUAAUACCUAGAGAUAGUGGACGUUACUCGCAGAAUAAGCACCGGCUAACUCUGUGCCAGCCGCCGCCGUAAUAC
rnacentral:rRNA from 1 species